AACAUUGAAAGGCUAGAAUUAGUAAACAACAACUUUGUUUGAGUCCAACAUGUGCACAGGGGCAAGAGGGGUGUUUUAUUUACAAACAUAUUUGUCGAUUCUCUGUUGUCAAGUCGACACAAGUUUCCAACGGAGGAAAUUUUUAGCUAUAUUUUAACAAACAUUAUAACGUUAAUUUAACUUAUUUCUGUUAUAUUUUAUAGGAAAAUUUAAAAUAAAAAGUAUAAAUACUACAAUUAACCUAUUUUAAGAAUAAAUAUAAUAUCCUUAAGCAAAAAAAAAACAAAAUUAUUAACAUUCUUAUCCCUAAAACUGCUUCUAAAAAAUUUGAAGCGACAACACCGGAGCUUAAGCGCCUAAACCAUACGCGUUGUGUCAUCUGUCAAACGGCUUUUUGUUUAUAUUCGGGAUUCGUGUAUUUUCUUUAAUUUUUGGUUUAAAAAGGAAAAAAGGCCACGUUUUAGUGUUUUUUUAAAUUGCUAGGAUGGCAAAAACUUGUGUCGUUUGUGCCGCAUCAUGAUAAAAACGUGAUUCAAGCCGAUCUUUUCACAAAUUGCCCAAUGAUUAUGCCCAAAGGGAACAAUGGGUUUCAUUAAUGGAAAUCAACACAUUUAAAAAGAACAUAUUUGUUUGUUCAGAUCACAUCCUUAGAAGUGAUAUAAGGGAGAUAAUAUUAUCAGUAGCCAGACUUUAUUAAAAAAAUCAGCUCUACCUCAAAGGAUUUCUGAUGCACUGGUUAAAAACACAGCAGCCAAUAAUUCAGUUAAUUUACCAAGUGAUUUACCCUUCAAAGCUACAGGGGUAGCUUUCCUGAAGAGUGCAAAAACUUCUUUAGCUUUCAAAAUGGUAUAUAGUACAAACAGUGAAGCUAAUAUAGACACAUAUGGAUAAUUAAAAUAGAUUAAUAUUCUUGAUACACCAAAUUUUGUAUAAUUACAGAUCUGAUCAUUCAUCAUCAACAAUAACUGCAUCUGAGAAUUAUAGUUCUACAGUAACCGUGGAGUCUAGGUCAACAAUUACUAUUUCUCAUCCAAGCCGUUUUUGUUUAACUGCUACACAUUCCCUGACUCUGCCAAGGAAAAGGGUAAAAUCAAAAUGAUAUCCUGAGGACCUAAGCACUGAUGAUUCCACCGUUUCAAGAGCUUAAUCACUUGUCACCAGAUUAUGGAAAAAAAAAUAAAGAACAAAAAAUUAAAAUUCGAAGAUUGCAACAAGCAAAUUUGCGCCAAAGAAAUUAAAUUAGAUGUCUCAAGUCAUUAUUAAAAUACUUACAUGAAAUAAUAACAUGAUUUUAUGGAAAA